UACAGAGGUCCCAAGCGUUGUUCGGAUUCACUGGGCGUAAAGGGUGCGUAGGUGGCCAGGUAAGUUUGGUGUGAAAGCUCGGAGCUUAACUCCGAAAAGUCAUUGAAUACUAUCUGGCUGGAGGGUCGGAGGGGAGACUGGAAUUCUCGGUGUAGCAGUGAAAUGCGUAGAUAUCAGGAGGAACACCGGUGGCGAAGGCGGGUCUCUGGGCCGUAACUGACGCUGAGGAGCGAAAGCGUGGGGAGCGAACAGG
rnacentral:rRNA from 1 species